rnacentral:rRNA from 1 species
GGGGGAACCGGCGUAAGGGGCAGUAAGGCGUGGACAACCUACCCUGGGGUCUGGCAUAGCCCGUUGAGAGACGGGGUAAUUCCAGGCGAUGUCUUGAUGGGGCAUCCUGUUGAGACCAAAGCUCCGGCGUCCUGGGCGGGGUCCACGUGGUAUUAGCUAGUUGGUGGGGUAACGGCCCACCAAGGCGGAGAUGCCUAGCGGGUGUGAGAGCACGACCCGCGCCACUGGCACUGAGACACUGGCCAGACACCUACGGGUGGCUGCAGUCGAGGAUCUUCGGCAAUGGGGGCAACCCUGACCGAGCGACGCCGCGUGUGCGACGAAGGCCUUCGGGUUGUAAAGCACUGUCGAGGGGGAGGAAAGCCCGAAAGGGUGUGACCUACCCCUGGAGGAAGCACGGGCUAAGUUCGUGCCAGCAGCCGCGGUAAGACGAACCGUGCGAACGUUG